UACAGAGGUCUCAAGCGUUGUUCGGAUUCAUUGGGCGUAAAGGGUGCGUAGGUGGCGUGGUAAGUCGGGUGUGAAAUUUCGGAGCUUAACUCCGAAACUGCAUUCGAUACUGCUGUGCUUGAGGACUGGAGAGGAGACUGGAAUUUACGGUGUAGCAGUGAAAUGCGUAGAUAUCGAGAGGAACACCGGUGGCGAAGGCGGCUAUCUGGACAGUGACUGACGCUGAGACGCGAAAGCGUGGGGAGCAAACAGG
rnacentral:rRNA from 1 species